rnacentral:rRNA from 1 species
AUUGAACGCUGGCGGCAGGCCUAACACAUGCAAGUCGAGCGGAUGAAGGGAGCUUGCUCCUGGAUUCAGCGGCGGACGGGUGAGUAAUGCCUAGGAAUCUGCCUGGUAGUGGGGGAUAACGUCCGGAAACGGGCGCUAAUACCGCAUAAGUCCUGAGGGAGAAAGUGGGGGAUCUUCGGACCUCACGCUAUCAGAUGAGCCUAGGUCGGAUUAGCUAGUUGGUUGGGUAAAGGCCUACCAAGGCGACGAUCCGUAACUGGUCUGAGAGGAUGAUCAGUCACACUGGAACUGAGACACGGUCCAGACUCCUACGGGAGGCAGCAGUGGGGAAUAUUGGACAAUGGGCGAAAGCCUGAUCCAGCCAUGCCGCGUGUGUGAAGAAGGUCUUCGGAUUGUAAAGCACUUUAAGUUGGGAGGAAGGGCAGUAAGUUAAUACCUUGCUGUUUUGACGUUACCAACAGAAUAAGCACCGGCUAACUUCGUG